rnacentral:rRNA from 1 species
UGGGGAAUUUUGCACAAUGAGGGAAACCCUGAUGCAGCGACGCCGCGUGAUUUAGAAGGCCUUCGGGUUGUAAAAAUCUUUUCUAUGGGAAGAAAAUGACAGUACCAUAGGAAUAAGGACCGGCUAAUUACGUGCCAGCAGCCGCGGUAAUACGUAAGGUCCGAGCGUUGUCCGGAAUCAUUGGGCGUAAAGGGUACGUAGGCGGGUAAGCAAGUUAGAAGUGAAAUCCUAUAGCUCAACUAUAGUAAGCUUUUAAAACUGCUCAUCUUGAGGUAUGGAAGGGAAAGUGGAAUUCCUAGUGUAGCGGUGAAAUGCGCAGAUAUUAGGAGGAAUACCGGUGGCGAAGGCGACUUUCUGGCCAUAACCUGACGCUGAGGUACGAAAGCGUGGGUAGCAAACAGG